rnacentral:sRNA from 1 species
AUCAUCGUAUUCGAAAAAGUGUGAGGUGAUUACAAAUUAGGUAAUUCAUAAAUUAUUAUGAUAAAUUAUUCAGCCUUAGCCCUAUUUGUUUCUCCAUCCAAAUGGAUCAUCUGGAUGAAAAUGAAAAAUAAUGUUUGUUUUUCACAAAUUAACAGAUCAUUUGGAUGAAUCAUUUGGAUGUUUCAUCUGAAUGACUUUGUAAAUUUAGGCUAAUUUGUGAAACUCAUUUGGAUGGAUUUGGUAGAACCAUUAGGAUGAAGAUGAUUUAGUCCAAAAAACAAAUGACAAAUAUAUCCUCUUUUAAUAAUGUUAAUUUU